UCCUCUGAAGUCCUAGAUGGAAAGCAGC
rnacentral:piRNA from 1 species